GUCACGUUUUGUUCCGUGUGGCCUCAUCCCCACCGCCCCACCCCCGAAUCGGUUCCUCCGCCCCCCGUCGCGGCCAGUUUCCUCGAUGCCGCUCCGCCUCCCAGCUCGCGAUUCGUCCGCCGUUCCUCCGUCGCCGAUCUUGGGGCUGGCACCGCCGGCGAGCCACUGCGUGCCCCCCGCAGUCAAUCCGACGCCCUCCCAUUCCUGACGCCGCUCACUCCUCCCGUCGCCGGUUUCCCGAAGCCGCUUCGCCGCCCAACUCGCGAUCCGUCCGCCGUUCCUCCCGUCGCCGAUCGGGGGACUGCACCACCGGCCAGCUCCUGCGUGUGCCCUCAGUCAAGGCGACGCCCUCCCAUUCCCGACGCCACUCACUCCUCCGGUCGCCGUUCCGCGAGACCGAUCUAACGUCGAUCGUCUUUCCGGCGUGCCUUCUGAUCAGGUGCUGCGUCACCAUCUACCCAUGCUGCUGAAGGAGGGAAGGGAAGGCAAGGCAAGGCAGCCUCUAUCUGGCUCAGAGGAAGAGCUCCCAAGGCCUCAAGAUGCACGCAGGGAGAAGGUUCAUGGCGGGGUAGAGCAGACCAGCUCGAGACCUCAUAGUUGCUGAUGGAGAUGGACGGUCGGGUCCGUUGGAGCCUUCUGGUGUGUCUAUCCAUGAUAUUGUCCUAUCAGGCUAUCCCCAAAACAUGAUCUACCUUUCUUGCAACCUGGAAGGCUUAUCCGUAUUCUAUCUAGUAUAGAUGAGUCAGCCACCUUCUCCAUUGAUGAAAAUGUCACAUGGGAAUUGUUAUAAACUUUGAAAAAGUGAAACCCAACGGUUAAGGUUUUUAAACAGCUAAUCUCAUUUUCAACCUAAUUUGCUAGUAUGGCUUUCUAUUUUCUUUACAUGUUUAGAAUACAAAAUGAAUUUUAUUCAGAAAAUGUUUGGUGAUGCAUUCCAUUACAGCAUUAUGUAUACACUUUAGUGUGGGUUGGGAUGGGAUUUUAUGCUUAAGCCGCAGAUAUGUAGGAUUACCAUUCACUGUCAUGUUUUGAUGAUUAGGAUCCUUCAUGGCUCCUCUGGGAUCUGCUCGUGUUCGUGUGUUUUUAUCCUUGUAUGUCAGCUCUCAAUGUCUAUUGCGUGAAAGCAUGCUUCCCUGAAUAGCUGUCAUUGUUUCCAAGUUAAAUAAAAUGCCAGCCUUGAAUGGAAUUUAAGAAAUGUAGAUAAUCAAUUGCUAUAUCAGAUCAGUUCUAUAAUUUGCAAGCAUUGUGUCGUGUACAGUGGUAUUCUUUCUUGCUGGUCCACUCAAAUUUAAAUUGUGGGCAUUGUGAUAGCUCAGUUUCAGCUGGCUGCUCAGUGUGGUGUGAUUGUUGAUGAGUUUAUUGCUGCAUAGAGGUCAUCUGAUAAAUCAUCAGACGUGAGGCAUCGAGCAGGCGCAUUGGAGCAAAUUAGGAUGAUUGAUAUGAUUCUCAACAUGUAUUAGCUUUGGUUGAGAUUACCCCUCGUCCAUUCAUGUAUGUUGAUUUAUUUUGGUUGAGAUUACAGCAACAAGGCGGAAGUCUUCGCUUUUGCUGGUACUGGAUCGGAGCUAAACUAGUAAAGAAAUUAUUCCAGUUCUAUUGACCAUGUCUAUAGUUUUGGUGCAAUAUACUAAUCUUUUUUUCCAAUUCUAACUUUUGCUCCAUCCUUGGACAAGCAUGGAAACAAGAGUCUAAUGGAGCUUGGGUGCUCCGAUGGUUGCAGUGCCCCACAAAUUCAAUGUUGUCACCUGCUAUGCUAUGCUGCAAGACUUCAUCAGCGGUGCACGAGCCUUCUUUGCACUCGCUAGUUCCAACAAUGUCAGUCUGCAACCUAAGCUGUGCUAGUCUGCAACUCCUACCUAACAAGCUCUAAGAUCACAUUAGAGCAGAUUGGUCAAAACAAACAAGCUUGAAUUUUGUUUGCCUUGUGGAAGAUAUCCAAAUAAGCUAUCAGAUGAUGGCGAUUACUGAAAUAGCUUGAGGGAGUGUAGAAAAUUCUGCUCAACAUGGCAGAUUCAUGUGUGAUGUAGGUGAAGGCCACCAUACGCUUGUAGCUUCUUCGCUUCACUUGUAUCCCAUCGCUUGUUAGAUUGUAGAUUCAAUCUCAAUAAAUUGUUUCCUGUGUAUAUACUUAGUUCACCAGAUUUUAUGGAUCCUAAUCCUUUUUUAUUUUUUUUCAUAUAGUUAACUCUUUACUUUUUUUGAAGGGUUUGUUGUUUUGCUA